rnacentral:sRNA from 1 species
ACAGAAAUCGAGGUGCAAGCUCAAAAAGAGAUGGGACCAGCAGCCAACAUGCUGAGAAUUUAGUAAGGAAUCACGGAAAAGAUAAAGAUUCAAGACAGAAGCAUGGCCACGAGGAAGGCUCUUCCGUGUGGUGGAAGCUGGACCAGAGGCCGGGAGGCGAGGAAACUGUGGAAAUUGAAAAGGAAGAAACUGAUUUAGAAAAUGCUAGAGCUGAUGCAUAUACAGCCAGUUGUGAAGAUGAUUUUGAAGACUAUGAAGAUGACUUUGAGGUUUGUGAUGGCGAUGAUGAUGAAAGCAGUAAUGAACCUGAGUCAAGAGAAAAACUGAAAGAACUUCCUCUAGCUCAAAAAAAGGAAAUACAAGAAAUUCAAAGAGCUAUUAAUGCAGAAAAUGAAAGGAUUGGGGAGUUAUCUUUGAAACUGUUUCAGAAGCGAGGUAGAACAGAAUUUGAAAAGGAGCCCAGGACAGGUAAACAAAUCAAUGCUACUAAUGGUGUCCGUGCUCUUAGGGCUCUGUGUACUGAGCCCUCACAGAUGCUGUCACACACAGGCCUACUCUAAUAAGGUGGGCGGAGCAGUAACAUCUUCCACAUGCUGGUGGUGCCAUGCCCUUGCAGCUACCACAUAGGAGGCCCCUGAAGACUUGAGCACGAGCCCAUCCAGAAUUCUCUUACACAGAGAAGUUGCACGUCACUUUCUGCUCAGCACCCAGGCCUUAGGUUAGCCGAGGGCGCCGUGGCCCCACUCAGUGAGCACUGAUGCUCCUGUUCUCCAGAGGGAGCGGAGGAUGCUGUGGCCCUCCUCAGUGGGAAGCCUGGCUCGUGUUUUCUUUGCAACCAGCGUUUUAUCCGUCUGUGAGCACAUGCUCUUAUUUUUCCUGAUGAUGUGCUCGUUGAGUUUCCACAGAGGAAUCAUCAUGGUUUUCCCUGGAGGCGUGGCAGUGUCCACUGAUGAGUGCCUUCAUGAGGCACGUGGGGACUGAGGGGUCGAGGUGCCUGUCAAGUCUUGGGACACAGCUGGACUGAGCCUGACACGAAGCAUGCUCUUGAUCCAUUCUUUUUUUCCUACAAGGACCUUUUUAAAUUAAAUUUAGAAAUGUAUUUUUUCUCCAAAUUCUUGGCAUCAGGAUAUAAUGUUACUUGUGAGAGUAGGAAUUAAUGUUUCAAAUUGCUUUAAAGGAAAACUGUGACAUUCUGAUAAAACAUGGGCACUGAGGAUAAAAUAGGAUAAUAUUAAAAUACUAUUUGAUGACAUACUACUUUAAAUUAUCUAGUAAAAUAUUCAGUAAUUGAUGCAGUUAAUUACAGUUAGUAAUUAAUAUGAUGCACUAAUACAAAUGAAGGUUUUGCAGAAUGAUUCUUUGUCUCACAUUUUGUGCCUGCUACAGAGGUGGCAGAACUCAGCUGGGCAGUGCUGAUAGAGCGUUCUUUAAACUUACAGCUAAAGGACACCUGUCCUGGUAGAGGUAAGGAUCUGCCCCUUCUUCAGCCCUGUCGCCUGGCUGAGGCUCAGGGACUGUUUCCCUCAGUUCCCCGUGGGGUAGCGCUGCACACAGGGAGGGUCUUUGUGCCACCAGCACACAGGAUUUCCUGACAGCAUUAAAGCUCGUCUGCUCUGGAGUUGCUGAGACGCGAGCAGGAUUUUAUUCUUAACGUUACUGGUUUUCUUAGCAGAUCUUUGAAUAACCUUUUUUUGUUACUCAUUUUCAACAUUUAUGCUUAGUGUUAUAUCUUUAUUAGCCUGAUUUACAAGAUUAGAAUUUACAACUCUCAAUAUGAGAUUAUUUUUGGCAUAUUUCUUAUUUGAAGGAGUUAUUCACUGUCAUACACAUUGCUCCAGGUAAAGCUGGAGCUGCUUUCUUGGCCCUGUUUAAUGUUGAGCUGGCACAGGUGGACGGUCGUAAAGACUAGCACAGUGUUGACAUCACGGUCUGUGCUGAAGCAGGAAUCACGGAGCCGUGCUGACUCCGGGGUUUCAGAUAACUGACUAGCUGUGUGAUCUUGGGCAGUUACUUAACCUCUCUGUGCCUCAUUGUCCUUAACUGUGAAAUGAGUGUCAGACUUUCUUUAGGGUUGUUGUGAAGAUUAAUUAAGCAAGCUAAACAUGGAAGGUGCUUAAAGGAGUGCCAGGCACGUUCUGAGUGCUAAGCACCGGUUUGUUUUCUGUGUCCUCCUUGGCUGUACUCUGCCACACCCUGUGGUGCUUGGACUACUUGGUUAUAAACUGCACACCUUAUCCUUUUUUAGGGCAGUAAGAAACCGUUUGGUAAAUAACUUUUUCCUGUGCACUAAAGUUACACCAUGGCGUUUGAAAGCCUUUGUACAAUUCCAAAAGGUAAAUGGUCCACUUGGUCAGUGAAGGAGUCUUUGCUGAGCGCCAAUGACUUGCACAGAGGUAUGCACUCUGCUCCAGGGAUGUCUUUAUUCAAGUCUUAAUUCUGUAACUUUAAAGGUUUUCUCAUUUUUAAAAACAGUCACAUCUUAUAAUGUCUGUGUGGUGCUUUCUAAUUGCUCAUAAACGUGGCCUCCUGUGGUCUGGUCCUUAUCACAGUCCUGUACGGCAGAUGUCCAGCAAUAAGGGAACUGAGAUGCAGAGAUGAGGUAACCUCCCAUGGUCAUGAAGCAAGUAGCGGACAGUGCUGGGACUUGAGCUCAGGCCCCUGACCCAGACAGGCAUCCUCCAGAGCCACACCCUCUGCAUUGCUGGCCUUAAAGCUUUGUUGUGAAGAUCAGAUGAGAUAAUGUGUGGGAAAGGGCUCUGAGUUUCAUAAAACCCUAAGACGGGAGGGCAAGUGCAAACCGAUAUCCAAAAGGAAUGAAAAGACGAUAAGAUGCGGUAGAAAUAAAUAUACAAACAAAUAAACACACGGGUAAGUAUGUACAGGAAGCCACCGAAGUCCUCAGGGGGAAGAGGUGGAUUGAGGGAUGACUUGUGUCCAUUACAAAGGAUUGGGGAUGGAGUUGUUUGUUCUUGUCUUUCUUUUUUUUUUUGAGACAGAGUCACUAUGUCUCCCGUGCUGGAGUAGAGUGGCAUGAUCUCGGCUCACUGCAACCUCCAUUUCCUGGAUUCAAGCGAUUCUUCUGCUUCAGCCUCCCGAGUAGCUGGGACUACAGAUACAAACAGUUCCCCUUCCAGAGCCUCCGUUUGUGGAAUUUUUGUGGAUUUUGCCUCAGCUUCACACCGUCAAAAGAGUCGGACUCAGGCCCUUAAGCAAAAGAUGCGAAGUACAAAACUGCUUCGGCUCAUUGACUUAGAUUUUUCAUUUACUUUCUCUCUCUUGGAUCUACCACCAGUAAAUGAAUAUGACAUGUAUAUCAGAAACUUUGGGAAAAAAAAUACCAAGCAGGCAUAUGUUCAGUGUAACGAAGAUAAUGUUGAAAGAGACAUUCAAACGGAGGAAAUAGAGACCAGGGAAGUGUGGACCCAGCACCCAGGAGAAAGUACUGUUGUGUCUGGAGGCAGUGAACAAAGAGAUACCUCUGAUGCUGUAGUUAUGCCAAAGAUUGAUACUCCAAGGUUAUGUAGCUUUCUGCGGGUGGCUUGUCAGGUGAUGGCCGUUUUGCUGGAAGAGGAUCGCUUGGCAGCUGAACCCAGCUGGAAUCUUAGGGCUCAAGACAGGGCCCUGUAUUUUAGUGACAGCUCAUCUCAGCUGAACACCAGUCUGCCAUUCCUUCAAAAUCGAAAAGUAUCCUCCUUGCACACCUCCCGAGUUCAGAGGCAGAUGGUGGUCUCCGUUCACGACUUACCCGAGAAGAGCUUUGUGCCCCUGCUGGACAGCAAAUACGUCCUCUGUGUGUGGGAUAUUUGGCAGCCUUCAGGGCCACAGAAGGUUCUGAUAUGUGAGUCCCAGGUCACGUGUUGCUGCUUGAGCCCUUUGAAAGCAUUUUUACUGUUUGCCGGAACAGCGCACGGCUCGGUUGUCGUCUGGGAUUUGAGAGAAGACUCAAGGCUGCAUUACUCUGUGACGCUGAGCGAUGGCUUCUGGACGUUCCGGACCGCCACGUUUUCCACCGAUGGAAUCCUUACCUCAGUAAACCACCAAAGCCCUCUUCAAGCAGUAGAACCUAUCUCAACGUCCAUCCACAAAAAGCAGAGCUUUGUGCUUUCACCCUUUUCUACUCAAGAAGAAAUGUCAGGUUUGUCCUUCCACAUCGCUUCCUUGGAUGAGAGUGGGGUUCUCAAUGUGUGGGUGGUUGUUGAAUUACCAAAGGCAGACAUCGCAGGUUCAAUAAGUGAUUUAGGUCUGAUGCCUGGAGGGAGGGUCAAGCUGGUACAUAGUGCUCUGAUCCAGUUGGGUGACAGUCUUUCCCAUAAAGGUAAUGAAUUUUGGGGCACUACACAAACACUGAAUGUUAAAUUUCUGCCUUCAGAUCCUAAUCACUUUAUUAUUGGCACAGACAUGGGUUUCAUAAGCCAUGGCACAAGACAAGAUUUGAGAGUGGCUCCCAAACUAUUCAAACCUCAGCAACAUGGUAUAAGACCAGUGAAAGUUAAUGUCAUUGAUUUUUCACCAUUUGGAGAACCGAUAUUUUUGGCCGGCUGUUCGGACGGAAGCAUCAGGCUGCACCAGCUGAGCUCCGCGUUUCCGCUCCUGCAGUGGGACAGCAGCACGGACAGCCAUGCGGUCACCGGCCUGCAGUGGUCCCCAACCAGGCCUGCUGUAUUCCUGGUGCAGGACGACACAUCCAACAUCUACAUCUGGGACCUCCUCCAGAGCGAUCUGGGUCCUGUCGCCAAACAGCAGGUCUCCCCCAACAGGCUGGUGGCCAUGGCUGCGGUGGGUGAGCCCGAGAAGGCUGGUGGCAGCUUCCUGGCCCUGGUGCUGGCCAGGGCGUCUGGCUCCAUCGACAUCCAGCACCUGAAGAGGCGGUGGGCGGCCCCGGAGGUGGACGAGUGCAACAGGCUGCGUCUGCUUUUGCAGGAAGCCCCAUGGCCAGAGGGAAAACUGCACAAGUAGCGGGUGUGGCUGAGAGGACGGCGUUUCUGUAAUGACCCAGAUUUAAAAGACAUAAGGUGGAUAAUUCUACAUUUGUGUGCAAGUAUAUUUAUGUAUAUAGACUAUGUAUAUUCUGUAUAUAAUUUAUUUUACAGGAAUAUUUCUUUGGUAUUCCCAGUAAAUACAUGACUACUUUUGAAUGGAAACAAAGAACAUUCUAGCAUUUACAAAACUUCCAGGGGAAUGUAGAGCCACGUCCAGGGUGCUCUUUUCUGAGAGUAUUUCGAGUUAUUUUUAGAACAGUUUAAAUAUUGUCACAUUACUGCUAGAUUUUAAACAGCCUACCAUGAAAAUGUAUCUUAAUGAACUAUUUUCUUAUGCAUAAAGUAUGUGAACACACGUCUAAAUUAAAAGGAAUUACUCCACCGAAA